CCCCCUGUGGCUCAGUUGGUAGAGCAUGGUGUUUGCAAUGCCAGGGUUGUGGGUUCGAUUCCCACGGGGGGGC
rnacentral:tRNA from 1 species